GGAUGAGGGCCUGAUCCAAAGCCUACUGAAGUCAAUGGUAGUCUUUCCGUGGACAGCAGUGGGUUUUGGAUCAGGCCCUGAAUUC
rnacentral:pre_miRNA from 1 species